CCCAGAACCAGGACGCCAACCCAGGCACUCCAUCCCAGAACCAGGACUCAACCCAGGCACUCCAUCCCAGAACCAGGACUCAACCCAGGCACUCCAUCCCAGAACCAGGACUCAACCCAGGCACUCCAUCCCAGAACCAGGACUCAACCCAGGCACUCCAUCCCAGAACCAGGACUCAACCCAGGCACUCCAUCCCAGAACCAGGACUCAACCCAGGCACUCCAUCCCAGAACCCGGACUCAACCCAGGCACUCCAUCCCAGAACCAGGACUCAACCCAGGCACUGCAUCCCAGAACCAGGACUCAACCCAGGCACUCCAUCGCCAGAACCAGAUGGAGUCAGACAGCCAGACAGCGUCUUAGUCACUAGGCCAACGCCUGUCCCUUCUAGAGAAUUUGAGGGCACAAAAAGGCAAAAGAGCAAGACAGAACAGACACGUUUAUUGAGCAUCUGUGACCUACGUGCAGGGCAUUAUAUGGAGAGAACUACCUACAUGGGGACGGAAACAGAUGCAUGUGGCCCCUCACAAAGGUAGAGACUGGUAAAUAUGGAGAUGAACAAGGUGACAGAUGUAUGUGUGUGUGUGUGUGUGUGAAAUACACAGAUCUAGAGUGUAAAGAGAAAGAUCUGUAUAAAUCCUCACACAGGAGACACACACCUAAUUUAGUGAUUUUAUAGUUUAAUGUGUAUUAAGUAAUUUUAUAACUUAUUAAUUAUCUUAACUAUAAUUUAUAGUGAUUAAUUGAUUAUAUGUUAUAUGAACCUAAUUUCCAAAUGAAAUGGCUGGGAAAGUCAUUUUGAAAUUUUCUGUUAACCACUGUGGAGUCUCUACUCAAACCAUAUUUUUUAAAGAUUUAUUUAUUUAUUUAUUUGAAAGGUAGAGUUAGAGGCAGAAAGGGAGAGAGACAGAGAGAGAGGUCUUCCAACCCUGGUUCAGUCCCUAAAUGUCUGCAACGGCGGAGCUGCGCUGAUCCGAAGCCAGGAGCCAGGCACUUCCUCCGGGUCUCCCACCUGGGUGCAGGGGUCCAAGCACUUGGGCCACCUUCUACUGCUUUCCCAGGCCAUAGCAGAGCGCUGGAUCAGAAGAGGAGCAGCUGGGACUUGAACUGGCACCCAUAUGGGAUGCCGGCGCUGCAGGUGGCGGCUUUACCCGCUACGCCACAGCACUGGCUCCCUCACGCCAUAUUGCAGCUGCGACCCAGUGUGGCAAAGCAAGGCAGAACAGCUGAGCUGCUGUGUCAGAGUGGAGGCGGCCCUUGUGUCCUCCUCUCCCUCCCCUGCCCACGCCUGUGGUGCCUGGAAGUCAGUGGGACGCUCAGCCCUCCACAAGCUUUCCAGCAUCCUGAAGGGUUCAGAUGGUGCCUGCGGUUCUCGUAGGAGGAAGUCAGUGCUACAGGGUAGCUGUCUGUCGUGUGACAGCUCCUAACCUCUUGGAACUUGAGUCUGCCUCCUGGGAGCCACCCCUUAUAAUUCCUAUCCCACCUCUGUGGCACAGAGAACAAGACUUUUCCCGUGAAAACUCUUCAAAUGCCUGGAGUCAGCUACCUUGUCUCAGAAAUCCCUUGUUGGACGCUUGUCAGACUGGCGGCUCUCCUGGCUCUCACACACCAGUGCCAGAGAUGCACGCCAGUGCAUCAGGAGAGGAGAGGAGGGCCAGCGAACCGGACCCAGAGGCUUUCUAGAACAGACUGCCUGGCAAUCAGCCACGAAGGAUGGGCCAGAACUGUGUGGCGAGGGGAGAAAGGCAACUGUGGCAGAGAGCACGGUGUGAACACAGCCCCUCCAAGCAUAAACCAGGCCAGGAGCGCGGUGUGAACACAGCCCCUCCAAGCAUAAACCAGGCCAGGAGCACAGUGUGAACACAGCCCCUCCGAGCAUAAACCAGGCCAGGAGCGCGGUGUGAACACAGCCCCUCCGAGCAUAACCCAGGCCAGGAGCACGGUGUGAACACAGCCCCUCCGAGCAUAACCCAGGCGAGAACACAGUGUGAACACAGCCCCUCCGAGCAUAACCCAGGCCAGGAGUGCAGUGUGAACACAAACCUCUCUGAGCAUAAACCAGGCAAGAGCGCGGUGUGAACACAGACCCUCCGAGCAUAAACCAGGCCAGGAGCACGGUGUGAACACAGCCUCUCUGAAGAUAACCCAGGGCAGGAGCGCGGUGUGAGCACAGCCCCUCCAAGCAUAACCCAGGCCAGGAGCGCGGUGUGAACACAGCCCCUCCGAGCAUAAACCAGGCCAGGAGUGCAGUGUGAACACAGCCCCUCCGAGCAUAACCAGGCCAGGAGCACAGUGUGAGCACAAACCUCUCUGAGCAUAACCCAGGCCAGAGCAUGAUAUGAACACAAGCCGCCUCCAAGCAUGAACCAGGCGAGAUAGAGCCAGGGACUGUGGGUAGCCCUUGUGGGUGAGUGUGGAGACCAAGGCAGAUUCAAGGGCUGAGCGAGGGCUGUGUGAUGAGAGUGAGUGUGAUCCUGUGGCUAACAGAGACGUCCUGCUGUUGCCAAGAGAGGAAGCUACAAGCCACGCUGCAGCAGUGUGAGUCCUGUCCCUGAGCACGGUCCUGAGUUCAAGGAAUGAAUGGGUACGUGUGGGAAAUCCAGUGUGCUGGCUGAGUUUCAUAGAAGAAAUGCGGAAACGUGUCAGAGAGCUGUAUGCAAAACAAGGACAGUUGCAUAGAGAAAUCCUCCAGCCCUUUACGGAACAGAUAAUUCUAACGAUUUUUAAAUUGUUAAAUUUACUGAAAAAUCAGGAAAAUGUUUCCAUCAUUUCAAGGCAGACAGUGUAACAUAUGACCCUUGGGACCAGAAGAAGCCAGACCGGACACUUCAGAAUAUUGAUGCAAAGGUGUUUAAAAACUAGUAUCAAAUAGAAUAGAGAACUUUAAAGGAAUAACAAACCUUAGAGCCAACUGCAGUUUAUUCUAAGAAUGCCAGGGAGAUUCAGCAGUGGUGCAUUAACACCUGUAGCCACAAAAGUCGUGAUUAUUUCUCUAAACAUGGAGCAGGGAUCUCACAUACCUCAGCUCCCUUCUUAAUUGUUUACUGCGUUAGUGGGCUAAGUCGAGGUCAGACAGUAAGUAGUCCUGGGGGGUGGAUUCAGGGGAACACCAUGAUUGCCACCCGGUGGUGUCCUCACCCUGGGAAACCUCUCCUGCGUGUGUAGGGCCUGCGGCUUGGCCCUAACAGCAGCAUGUGGCGAGGGUGAAGGGGUUUGCAGAUACAGUCAAGGGCCCUUACAGACGACCUUAGCUGAGAGCAGGGAAGCGCGCUUGUGCGGGGUCAGCUGGACCCCGUCCGGCAGGUUCGUUAAAGGUUCGCCUUUCUCUGACGAGUGUCCUGUGGGCCUGAAGGAACCCACUGCCGUGCCUGGUGAGGCACAGGGCAGGGAGCUGCGGGGAGCUGCCAGCAGCUAACAGCCCCUGGCUGAGAGCUAGCUCCAGCUUGGGGGCUUUUGUCCUGCAAACACAGACCUGACGUCGGCCAGCAGCCUCUGGAGCUCCGGAGUGGAGUCUGAGCGCCGCAGGGCCAGCGCCGGGCAGCCUGGGAGGCCCCGAGCAGGGCUCCCAGCCCAGCCGUGCUGCGACCUGGGGGCACAGAGGCGGCGUGGCAGAGGCGUGCUGUGUCACACGGCGGAAUCGGAGGUCGUUUGCUGCACAGCGGUGGAACCCUGAAGCAGGGUCCAAACAAGGCUGCCUGGCACCACCACUGUUACUCCCCUGGAGACCGUGCACUUGGACAAGAAGGUGAAGUCAGCAGUGACUUGAAAAGGAGGAGCUAGUACGAGUGCAGUGUUACUGACUUUGGGAAAUCCCAAGAGCAUUAAUUGAGAACUAUAAAAGCUAUAAGAAAAUUCAGUAUGGAGCAGAAACCAACAGCGCCGUAUUACAGAUAACAAGCAGAGGAACUAGAAUGACAGGAAAGACCUCCCUCCCAUACCAGUAUGCAGAUAAAAUACCUCCUGAUCAGCCAGCAGUACCUUUCAGCCCUGUAGAAGGCAAGCUUUGAAACAUUAAUGGAGGGGCCGGUGCUGUGGUGCAGCAGAUUAAAGUGCCAGCAUCCCACUGGGCACCAGUUCAAGUCCCAGCUGCUCCACUUCCCAUCCAGCUCUCUGCUGUGGCCUGGGAGGGCAGUGGGAGAUGACCCAAGUGCUUGGGCCCCUGCACCUACAUGGGAGACCUGGAAGAGGCUCCUGGCUCCUGGCUUCGGAUCAGCUUAACUCUGGCUAUUGUCAUUUGGAGAGUGAACCAGCAGAUAGAAGACCUCUCUCUGCCUCUCCUUCUCUCUCUCUAACUCUGUCUUUCAAAUAAAUAAAUAAAUCUUUAAAAAAAAGUCUACAAAAAAAUUAAUGGAGCCUGCAGUUUAUGCAAUGGAAAAUUAAAUAUUUAUGCAAAUGGAAAAAAACCUAUUUUGCACAAAAAGGAUCGCAAGCAAAUCAGUUUUCCUUAAGUUAAUUUAAAAUUUUAAUAUGUUCUCAGUGAAAAUGCCAAAAUUUGUUGAAGUUUUUUUUAAAGAAGAUGAUCCUGCAGUACCUGUGGAAAAGUAAACAAAUGGCCACAACAACUCUGAAAAGAGCGAGCAGGGGAGCAGCCCCACUGGACGGCGGGACGCGUUACAGCGUCUUCUCCCAGACAGAGCUGGUGGCUGUGAAGGUACCGCGCCCUGGAGUGGAACAGAAAACGCCUGUGUCCCAACACAGGCGAAGCUGCGGAAUGGUGGCGAGCAGCCUCAGACAAGUCACGAGGACUGUCCAGCAAGUGAUCUGCGGACGAGUGAGGACCCAAGAAGAAAGAAGAACGAGCUGCACGCAUCCGGCAUACGUCCAGG